rnacentral:lncRNA from 1 species
CGACAGGCCAGAUGCGGCUGGGUUGGCAGAGUCCAGGGUCCACGCAGGCAGAGUGCAGAAUGCGUGAGGAGGACUGAAGUCACGGGGCAGGAGGACCGGGCAGGCCCUGCAGACCAGGGACAAGGGCUUGCCACAGCGCCUGAGCCAGUCAGACGUCUGUCAGCAAACGCCGGGGCCACAGCCCCAAGACAGGACUGCAGAAGGGAGAAACUCACUUUGCUGAUUCCAGAAGCAGGCGACAGAGACCCUGCUCCCAUAGUAACUGGACUGGGAGAGACAGCAAAGUGGACCAGCGACCCCACGGCGUGAGCUCUAACAAGCCCCGGCCGGCGCACCCCACAGAACAAGGGAAGUGGACUUUCCUGGGGGCAGCUGCAGACCUCAGGGCACCUCCCAGACCCAUAAACACAGAGCAGCUGUGGGUGAGACUCGGGCAGGCGGCUGGGGAGCAAGACCACCUGGCCGCAGGCCUGUGGGGCAGGCACCUCAUGCUGCUGGCUCUCACCUCCACCAGGGGCCUGCAGUGCCCCCCACGUCCGCCUGCGCGAGCCACAGUGUGCACCCCGACAGCUUCCCAGAAGAGGAUAGCAGAGGACAUGGUCUCUGAUGGCCAAGGAAGAGUGAAAAGUCAGCCACGGAAGGACAGCAGAAAACCCCUCAGACCUUGGAAAUUAAGCAGGAUGUGCCAAGGACUGAAUGUGCUAAAGUGUCCAGACUGAAAUCCGACACUGCCUCGAGCUAAGUUAGAGUGAAGUUACCAUUCAAACUGUGCUUCGGGGAACUGCAUCCCCAUAGAUGCUGCAAAAACUAGAAGACAGCACAGUGGGCUAAACUGUGCCCCCAGCGCCUGGGCCGGAUCUAGCAUGGAGACAGGUCUUUGUGCUGACUGCUGCAGUUGCCCACGGCAUGGGAAGGAGAACCGCAAGCUUGGUACACAUGGUAUUGCUGCCCCACCAGCAUGGCUCCAGCUUCUCCUAGAAGAGGGUAGCUGCACACACAUGCGCGCACACACACACGAAGCCACCUGCCCCACAGGUGAGUCCAGCCCCCCGCCAUGUCCACAGGGGAAGCCAUCACCCUGGGCCUCCAGGAGCCGGGCCCACUCUGCAGCCCCGACACUACUGCCAGGACCCUAUAUCCGGAUGUGGCUCAGCGAUGACCCGGGAACCACCCAAGGCAGCACUCCCUGGAGGGGAAUCAUCUGUGGUGGCCCCGUCAGGUGGUCAGGUGGCAGCCCCAGGGUCCCCUGCAUCUUCAGGAGCCAUGCAUCCGCCGCUGUCUGUGGCCCGCGGGACCCACCCGGGGCUGGCUAGGACAGAGCUGCUGUGGCCUCUGCACAUCCAUGCAGCAGCGUGGGAGAGAGGCUGAGGGUGCUGCAGCCCCUCUCCUCCUCAGUCAGGGCUUCCUGCUCUAGAGGGUACCGUCCGGAUGCCCUUGUGUCUCCAGACACCUGGGCAGGAGGCCCGGAACCUCGGAGAUGGGGACCCAGAGCCGAGCCCCCGUGGACCUGUGCAGCGGCCCAUCUCAUUUGUGGGCUGAGGGGAAGAGGAACCAUGAAUGCACAGAAGGUUCUGGAAGCUGCCAGGCCUGCUCUGGCCAUGACCUGGCUAAUAAAUAUGCUGUUUAUCUCUAAGUUACACUUUUAGCAGAUUCAAAAAGUGCAGCCCUGGCAGACGCGCCCCUCCUUAGGUGGCUGAGACCAGGUGUACGUCCUGCGUCCUGCCUCCUGCCGUCUCCACCUAGAUACAGGCUGCGCCAUGUCCUUGCACACAGAAUGCAGAGCAGAUGUUACAGAAAGGAGAAAAGACCACAAAGCACAGCACAGUGUCUUCCCGGUGCCAAGUCGCCCGACAGCACCCACACAUCUGCCCUGACCGCUGCGUGGACCCCGGCCACGAAUAUUGCUCCAACCCUGUAUGUGCCAGACCCCUUCCCGACGACAACGCCCUGUAAAAAUCCCGCCUGGUCUUUGCUCGCCCUGUUGACCUGCGCCCAGGUGAAUAAAGUCUGCGCCUUGUGGCCUUCCACAGCCGGCUCGGGGAUCUCAUUCCUCCGCCGUUUGUCCCAGAAACACGUUCGAAGCCGUCCACACCAGCGGCCACCACAGGCCUGAGGAUGCCACAGAAGCCCCUCCACCAUACUGGCAUUGUCGUUCUUGCCACAAGCAGAGCUGGCCCCAGGUACCUCCAGGUGGGUGGUGGCUGGGCUGAGUCCCCAGCUGCACUGGUCUGGUGGCCCAGGGCCCAGGGCAGCUGCCCCUCGCCCUCGCUCAGGAAGCCCAAGCCUGGGCUGGGGCCUCUAACUAAACCCAGGCCGUGUGGCCCCUUCCUGACGGGGGCCUGCUCACCAUGGACCCAGGGCCCACGCUCCAUGCCCUGAGUCAGCUGCAGUGUCCCCAAGCCUGGGCUCGCUCCAGGCCCUUCCACAGGCACCCGCUGCCCCACCCGACCUCGCCAUGUUCUAAGAACCAGUCUGCAACAUCUGCCGUCAGAGGGUGUCACAGAGGGUGUCACGGAGCGUGCCUCAUCAGCGAGAGUCCAGUAAACAGCAUGUUUCUUUCCUUGAGUGUGGUGUAAGCCAAGCACGGCUUAGACUGAGUCAUCUGUGUUGUCUGGAGGUCAGGUUGUCCUGUACCUGUGCUGUUAUUUGCUGGCUUGACCCCCUGCCCCACAAGGGCGGAUGCAUGGUUGCCCACAGUGACCCCCACACUGCUGGCCCCUCGCCCUGACCAGGAGAUUUUCAAACACAGAGACCUCUGGGGACCCUGCCCACUGGCUGGACAGAAGCAACUACAGAAAAUGCCAGGGCAGAUUCUGGGGUGCAGAGGACAGUCAGGAUGCCCAGAGUCACUGACAGGGCCGUGUGGAAUCCCCUGGCACUGGCAGGGCAGGAGGCUCACCUUGGGUGCUUGAGAGUUUCCUCUGCCUCAUGUUUGGGGCUUCUGCAGAACCUCAAAAGCGGGGCAGAGGCGGGGGCCACUCCGGAAGCACUGUAGAGUUCAGCAUGAAGCCGACUCCACAGUGUCGAGGGUGCGCGGGGUGGGGGUUCGGGCUUCCCCCAGCCUGUUCAGGCCUCCGGUGUCGGGGUUGCACCAUCAGGCCCCCAGGGCCAUGGAGCCCCACCAGGCCCAGCCCACGUGGUAAGAGCACUCAGAGGAGGCCCUUCCCGAGCCUGGGCAAGGCCCUGGUUUCCAUUUCAGUGCUGCAAAUAAAUUUUAAAAUGAAAAUGAAAAAGAAAGCCCUUG